GGAAAAAGACACAUAACUCUGACCAUUCAAGGUAAAUCAUUAUUUUGUCUAUCAAAAUUGUAAUAUUGCAGAUUAAUUUAUCUUUAAAACUAAUAUAAAAAAAUAGGAAAACCUGCAACCACAAGGGACCCAAAACUGUUCUCUUGGCCAAAAUGAACUCCUGAUUCUCUGGGAAAUCCAUUUGCAAUACAGUUCAGCCUCAGGCCGAAUCUGCAGUUGGAUGCAGGCAUAAUUCUACCGCUCUUAUGUUCAAGUUACUUUAACCCUUGUGUAGUCUUCAUUCUGUAUACUCCUCUUGUCCAAAGGGUGAAAAAUGACCUUCACUAAACCCCUGAAAUAAAGCAGCUUAAUUGAAUUUUAAACCCCAAAUCUAUUCUGCAUGAAGAAACAACAUGUCACUUUUCACAAACUGUCAUAAAAUUUCAAGUUGACAAAAUAUAAUUUAGGGGGUUUUCUCUGCUGUUAAACAUGGAGGCGGGACCCUUAAGACAAAGGGUUAUUCAUUCAUUAUCCUAACCCAAUUAUCCUGAACAGGGUUGCAGGGGGGCUGGAGCCUAUCCCAGCAUACAUUGGAAAAAAAUGCAGGAAUACACCCUGGACAGGUCGUCAGUCCAUCGCAGAGCACACACACCAUUCACUCACACACUCAUGUGGGCCCAAAAUUUUACUAUAUGAAAAAGGAAAUAUAAUUUUGUGGAGCUCACCCCAUUCUAUUUGCUGGGAGUGAGUAAGUACUAGUGACAGAAGCUAACCCAACUUACUGGGGAUGACUGGCUUUUCCCAUUUGACUGGCUCCAAUUCACUCCUGUUCAUUUUUGAGACCUCACCAAAAUUAGUACAAAAUAAUGAAAGAGUAAUAAUAAGUAAUAAUAGAGUGAUAAAAAAGACUUUUUUUAAGGCUAUUUUAAGACUUUGGCGAAAAAAUACAACAAUAUCAUUGUUUUAAUGAACGUGCCCAUGUUAAUAUGCAGGAAUACAUCACUUAGUUAUGAUAACAAAACCUUUCAUAGAUUCUUUAAUAAAACGGCAAAAAAAAAAGGUCGCGUAAAUUAAUGGAAGUGUAUUGAGAACCGGACAAAAGGGAAACACAGCGGUGCAGUUAACGGGCAGCAGGGAAAGCUGAUGUUCCUGGUAUUCACUCCACGCAAAUAUAAUGAGGUUAGCUCCAUACAACUCAAGUGAAAUGUCCCUUUAAUGGUGGUUCCACAGAGACUCCUGUAUUCUCAGCCUUUGUAUGUUGCACUGUACCCCACAGGACUUGGAGCCCCUGUGAAGUGCACCAUGGUUCAUGGGACUGAUGAGAUUGAUGUGAGGAUGAACGCCGCAUCUCCGCAAAACAAUACAGAAAUAUUCUUUAUGGAUCGAAGGGGAGAAUACGUGUCUGCCAUUUGUCAGAUUAAUCCCUACACUCCCAAUAAGUCUUCUGAAAAUUCACAAUCAACAAAUUCCACUUGUGAGUCCCUAGAGCAGAUGGUUGUUCCUGUGGCACUGGGAUCUUGCUCGGUUCUUCUCGCUAUCCUGUUGGGGACCUGGUGCUGCCUCUACAAAAAGAAGCAAAAACAACCAAAGGGAAGCCAGAGAAGGACUGGUGCGAAAGGUGACACGUAGAUCCAGCCAAUCGCAGUGACCUUCCUCAAAUUUAGGCCGAAUACCCACUUGAAAUUCAGGGGGAUUUUGUCCACAGGAACUACAACAUCGUGGGAAGGAUAUCUUUCUUUUUUUUUUUUUCUCACAAUUUUUUGGUAAUGUGAACUGUAAUUUUCCUCCCUGUCACCUUUGUGGGAUAGUUUUUGUGUUCUGCAAUAGAGAUAUUGCAGAACACAAACAGAUAAUUAUGUGACCAGCAGGGCUUGACAUCAACACCUACCAGUGGCCAAAUCCGGAUAGAAUUUGGCAUUGGCGUGUAACUUGUUCACUCUUACUGGCCACUUUGGCAGGUGAGAUUUCAGUAACAUUUUCUGAAUCUGAAAUUAAGUCAAUUGAAUUACGUUUAUGUUCCACCGCAGAGUUACAUACUAUCAUGAGGUAUGGACUUGAAAACAAAUUCUGACAAAAUAUGUCUAUUAGCUCAUUUGCAUACUUUACUCAAGAUGGCGGAAGUGACAAUUUUUUUGUUUUUGUUGCAGUCUAUAACCUAGUAAGAUAUUGUUAUAAUUCUUUCAGAUUCUAAAUAAGACAUGUUUGAAGAUAUUUUGCGCCAAUUUGUAUCACCAGUCCACAAUAGCCAUUUUUCUCGAAAUUUCAGAUUUUCCAUGAAGAUUUUUCAUGAAAAUUGUGAAAUUUCAGGAUCUAACAAUGGACUUUGUGAUGCUGUACCUGUCCCUAAAGCUUAUAACAAGAAAAUAAUUUGUUCUCCUGGAUAUGAAGUAAAGGAUUUCUAAGUUUCAUGAUGAUAAGAUGACUAUGCACUGAGACAAAUGUGGUAAAUAAUUAUACUAAUUCCAUCAUAUACAUGGUGUAAUCACUCAAAAGGUGGCAUUAUCCUGAAAAUUGAAUCGUUGAGGGAUGAUUUGCAGCAGUAAACAGAAAAGGGUCAUUGAUUUUUUCAGUGGAACAGAACCUUAAGGCAAUUUUCUGGUGAUACUGCAUGAUACUACAACUCCCAUGAGCACUAGGUGCCAUCUCGCUCUAGCUUCUUCAGUGGGAGCAGGCGAACUCGGGUGAACACAGCGCUGCAACUUCAAAGUGUCUGUUUGUAUCCAUGGCACUGGACAGCGCAGAUUCAGAUCCUCUAGUUCCAAUCUGAAAACAUGGAAGUGACAACGAUCGCAGCACCGAACACAGAAAAAGAUAACGGUUCAGUAAAUGAGCGUGAACUUCGACCACAGACAGUUCUGUGACUUUGAGAAAUGCCCAUGAAUUCAAAGUUGCUUUAGCUUAUUUUUAAAAGGCAAAGAAAAUAAAAAAGGGAAAACAAAAAAAGAAAGAAAGUAGGCUUGUCACAGUGUCUGGUUUAAGCUGUGCAUUCAGCAGUUAUACUGCAUAAUGCCAAUACUGAUAUUUUGUAAUUGUAAUUAAAAGUAGUCAUUAAAAAUAGUCAAAGUAAAAACAAUCAAAAAUGAAGAAAGAGUUCUGUUACUCCAUAAAGCGUCUGUAGCGGCAGGAUACAGAUAAAAACAUUGUGCAUGUCACAUCAACAUUAUGUAAAAUUGUGGCUAUGGGUGUGGCAGCCUGUCGAGAAGUGGCUAAGUUAUGACUGGGUCCAGGAUGGUUGACGGUUCAAGCCCUGGUGUAGCCACGAUACGAUCCGCACAGCGGUUGGGCCCUUGAGCAAGGUCCUUAACCCCGCAUUGCUCCAAGGGGGAUUUUCCCCUGCUUAGUCUAAUCAACUGUAAGUCUCUUCAGCUAAAUAACUGCAAUGUAAUGUGUGCACUUUGUUCUCUGCACUGACACAUGGAGAAUAUUCAUGGCAAAGGUAUGCAAUACAAGUGUUUUGUAAUUGAAAUGAUUUUGAAGUGCAUUUUUUAUUUAAUGUUCUCUUUAACGAGCUAACAUGGUAGUUAAGAGUGGUGUAUAUCUUUUUUGGUUAGUGUAGGUGACUUAGCAAUUACAAUGAUUUUUAUAUACCUAUAUGUCUAUUUGCCUUCAGUACAAUCUAUUUUUGUCAUGUGUAUUUUUUCUUUAAUGAUGUAUUUUAUAUUUCUUUUUAAUAUGAAUGAAGAGUAUAAUGUCUCAACUCAUGCAUGUCUCUGCAACAUUAUUUGUGAAUGUAUAUUUUAAUAAAAUGGGUUCCAACUGUUACGUGUGGACUAUAUAA